CAGCGCCACGAGUGGGGAUCCUGUUUAUUUGGCCUAAAGCGUCCGUAGCUGGUUUAGUAAAUCUCUUGUGAAAUCGUUAAGCUUAACUUAACGGCGUGCAGGAGAGACUGCUAAGCUAGGGACCGGGAGGAGUCAGAGGUAUGCCGGGGGGAGCGGUAAAAUGCUAUAAUCCCUAGUAGACCACCUAUGGCGAAGGCAUCUGACUAGAACGGGUCCGACAGUGAGGGACGAAAGCCAGGGGAGCAAACCGGAUUAGAGACCCGCGUAGUCC
rnacentral:rRNA from 1 species